UACGUAGGGUGCAAGCGUUGUCCGGAAUUACUGGGCGUAAAGGGUGCGUAGGCGGUUAUUUAAGUCUGCCGUGAAAUCCCCGGGCUCAACCUGGGAAUGGCGGUGGAUACUGGAUAGCUAGAGUGUGUCAGAGGAUGGUGGAAUUCCCGGUGUAGCGGUGAAAUGCGUAGAGAUCGGGAGGAACAUCAGUGGCGAAGGCGGCCAUCUGGGACAACACUGACGCUGAAGCACGAAAGCGUGGGGAGCAAACAGG
rnacentral:rRNA from 1 species